rnacentral:rRNA from 1 species
CCCUUAGAUGUCCUGGGCUGCACGCGCGCUACACUGGAAGUUACGGAUUGAGAUACUACCUUGUCCGAAAUGGUCCGGGUAAUCACCUAAAAGCUUGUCAUAAUUGGAAUGGAUUAUUGUAACUAGUAAUCCUGAACGAGGAAUUCCUAGUAAGUCCCAGUCAACAGCUGGUACUGAUUACGUCCCUGCCCUUUGUACGCACCGCCCGUCGCUACUACUGAUUGGACGUUUAAGCAAGAUUUUUAAACACUGACAGUGUGUAGUUCACGCUAUACUACAGUGAGAAGAAGAAGAUCGAGCUUACUUGUCUAGAGGAAGUAAAAGUCGUAACA